rnacentral:rRNA from 1 species
CACGUAGGCGGCCCGUCAAGCAUCUUGUGAAAUCCCUCGGCUCAACCGAGGAAUGGCUGGGUGAACUGGCGGGCUUGAGGCAGGUAGGGGCACGUGGAACUCUUGGUGGAGCGGUGGAAUGCGUAGAUAUCAAGAGGAACGCCGGUGGCGAAAGCGGCGUGCUGGGCCUGUCCUGACGCUGAGGUGCGAAAGCCAGGGGAGCAAACG